rnacentral:rRNA from 1 species
AUUGAACGCUGACGGCAGGCUUAACACAUGCAAGUCGAGCGAGCGGCGGACGGGUGAGUAAUGUCGGGGAAACUGCCUGGUGGAGGGGGAUAACUACUGGAAACGGUAGCUAAUACCGCAUACCAUCAGAUGUGCCCAGAUGGGAGUAGCUAGUAGGUGGGGUAAUGGCUCACCUAGGCGACGAUCCCUAGCUGGGCUGAGAGGAUGACCAGCAACACUGGAACUGAGACACGGUCCAGACUCCUACGGGAGGCAGCAGUGGGGAAUAUUGCACAAUGGGCGCAAGCCUGAUACUGCCAAGCCGCGUGUGUGAUGAAGGCCUUCGGGUUGUAACGCACUUUCAGCGAGGAGGCGUUACUCGCAGAAGAAGCACCGGCUAACUCCGUGCCAGCAGCCGCGGUAAUAC